rnacentral:rRNA from 1 species
UACGAAGGGGGCUAGCGUUGCUCGGAAUCACUGGGCGUAAAGCGCACGUAGGCGGACUCUUAAGUCGGUGGUGAAAUCCUGGAGCUCAACUCCAGAACUGCCUUCGAUACUGGAGAGCUUGAGUCCGGGAGAGGUGAGUGGAACUGCGAGUGUAGAGGUGAAAUUCGUAGAUAUUCGCAAGAACACCAGUGGCGAAGGCGGCUCACUGGCCCGGUACUGACGCUGAGGUGGCGAAAGCGUGGGGAGCAAACAGGG